rnacentral:rRNA from 1 species
GAUGAACGCUAGCUACAGGCUUAACACAUGCAAGUCGAGGGGAAACGGCAUCGAAAGCUUGCUUUUGAUGGGCGUCGACCGGCGCACGGGUGAGUAACGCGUAUCCAACCUGCCCAUCACUUGGGAAUAACCUUGCGAAAGUAAGACUAAUGCCCAAUGACAUCCCACGAAGGCAUCCGAAUGGGAUUAAAGAUUUAUCGGUGAUGGAUGGGGAUGCGUCUGAUUAGCUUGUUGGCGGGGUGACGGCCCACCAAGGCAACGAUCAGUAGGGGUUCUGAGAGGAAGGUCCCCCACAUUGGAACUGAGACACGGUCCAAACUACUACGGGAGGCAGCAGUGAGGAAGAGUGGUCAAUGGGCGAGAGCCUGAACCAGCCAAGUAGCGUGCAGGAUGACGGCCCUAUGGGUUGUAAACUGCUUUUAUAAGGGAAUAAAGUGGGUCACGUGUGACUUUUUGCAUGUACCUUAUGAAUAAGGACCGGCUAAUUCCGUG